rnacentral:rRNA from 1 species
UCCGCAGGGGGUUUGCCAAGUCUGAUGUGAAAUCCCGAGGCUCAACUUCGGAACUGCAUUGGAUACUGGUGAACUAGAGUCCACGAGGGGUGAGCGGAAUUCACGGUGUAGCGGUGGAAUGCGUAGAUAUCGUGAAGAACUCCGAUGGCGAAGGCGGCUCACUGGCGUUGAACUGACCCUCAUGGACGAAAGCGUGGGAGCGAACA